CUUGCCUCACAUGAGAGGUCCAGCCUGCCCAGUGACAUUGUUCAACGGCCGCGGUAUCCUAACCGUGCGAAGGUAGCGUAAUCACUUGUUCUUUAAAUAAGGACUAGUAUGAAAGGCACCACGAGAGUCAUACUGUCUCCUUUCUCUAAUCAGUGAAACUAAUCUCCCCGUGAAGAAGCGAGGAUAAAAAUAUAAGACGAGAAGACCCUAUGGAGCUUAAAACAAGUAACACUUGCCCGCUAAACCUUCUAAUUUCAGAAAAACUUUCUAUCCCGGCAUCAUGAUUAUUAGUUUUCGGUUGGGGUGACCACGGAGCAAAAAACAACCUCCGCAAUGAAGAGUACUCAUCUACUUAAUCAAGGACCACAACCCCACACAUCAACAAAUUGACACUAAUUGACCCAACACGUUGAUCAAUGAAC
rnacentral:rRNA from 1 species